UGUAAUAAGUUCUGUCAGCAGGUGAAGC
rnacentral:piRNA from 1 species